CAUAUCAACGUUCGAUGCCAUUUUCUGCGCCUACCAUGGUGACCACGGUAACGGGGAAUCAGGGUUCGAUUCCG
rnacentral:rRNA from 1 species